CUACGGGGGGCUGCAGUGAGGAAUAUUGCACAAUGGGGGGAACCCUGAUGCAGCAACGCCGCGUGGAGGAUGACGCAUUUCGGUGUGUAAACUCCUUUUAUAUGUCAAGAAAAUGACGGUAGCAUAUGAAUAAGCACCGGCUAACUCCGUGCCAGCAGCCGCGGUAAUACGGAGGGUGCAAGCGUUACUCGGAAUCACUGGGCGUAAAGGACGCGUAGGCGGGAUAGAAAGUCAGGUGUGAAAUCCUAUGGCUCAACCAUAGAACUGCACUUGAAACUUCUAACCUAGAGUAUGGGAGGGGAAGAUGGAAUUAGGGGUGUAGGGGUAAAAUCCGUAGAUAUCACUAGGAAUACCAAAAGCGAAGGCGAUCUUCUGGAACAAUACUGACGCUAAGGCGUGAAAGCGUGGGGAGCAAACAGGAUUAGAUACCCGGGUAGUC
rnacentral:rRNA from 1 species